AAAUUUCAUUGUUGCCGGUAAUGACAUGUAGAAUAGGACUCUAUCUUUAUUCUCGUCCGAUUAAUUAGUU
rnacentral:tRNA from 3 species